rnacentral:rRNA from 1 species
UACGGGGGGGGCAAGCGUUGUUCGGAAUUACUGGGCGUAAAGGGCUCGUAGGCGGCCAACUAAGUCAUACGUGAAAUCCCUCGGCUUAACCGGGGAACUGCGUCUGAUACUGGAUGGCUUGAGUUCGGGAGAGGGAUGCGGAAUUCCAGGUGUAGCGGUGAAAUGCGUAGAUAUCAGGAGGAACACCAAUAGCGAAGGCAGCUCGCUGGGACGUGACUGACACUAAGGCGCGAAAGCGUGGGGAGCGAACAGG